rnacentral:rRNA from 1 species
GACGAACGCUGGCGGCGUGCUUAACACAUGCAAGUCGAACGGGGAUGGGUGGAGCUUGCUCUGCUUUGAUCAGUGGCGAACGGGUGAGUAACACGUGAGUAACCUGCCCCAGACUCUGGAAUAACCCCGGGAAACCGGUGCUAAUACCGGAUAUGACACAGAAUCGCAUGGUUUCUGGGUGGAAAGUCUUUCGGUUUGGGAUGGACUCGCGGCCUAUCAGCUGGUUGGUGAGGUAAUGGCUCACCAAGGCGACGGCGGGUAGCCGGCCUGAGAGGGCGACCGGCCACACUGGGACUGAGACACGGCCCAGACUCCUACGGGAGGCAGCAGUGGGGAAUAUUGCACAAUGGGCGCAAGCCUGAUGCAGCGACGCCGCGUGAGGGAUGGAGGCCUUCGGGUUGUAAACCUCUUUCAGCUCUGAAGAAGCGAAAGUGACGGUAGGAGCAGAAGAAGCACCGGCUAACUACGUGCCAGCCGCCGCAGUAAAAC